rnacentral:rRNA from 1 species
GAUGAACGCUAGCGGCAGGCCUAAUACAUGCAAGUCGAACGGUGUCUUCGGACAUAGUGGCGCACGGGUGCGUAACACGUAUGCAACCUACCUUACAUUGGGGGAUAGCCUUUCGAAAGGGAGAUUAAUACCGCAUAAGACAGUAACUUGGCAUCAAGUAGCUGUUAAAGAUUUAUCGAUGUAAGCUGGGCAUGCGUCCAAUUAGCUAGUUGGUGAGGUAACGGCUCACCAAGGCAAUGAUUGGUAGGGGAACUGAGAGGUCAAUCCCCCACACUGGCACUGAGAUACGGGCCAGACUCCUACGGGAGGCAGCAGUAGGGAAUAUUGGGCAAUGGACGCAAGUCUGACCCAGCCAUGCCGCGUGCAGGAUGAAGGCGUUAUGCGUUGUAAACUGCUUUUAUACAGGAAGAAACGACUCUUGCGAGAGGCAUUGACGGUACUGUAUGAAUAAGCACCGGCUAACUCCGUGCCAGCAGCCGCGGUAAUACGGAGGGUGCAAGCGUUGUCCGGAUUUAUUGGGUUUAAAGGGUGCGCAGGUGGUUUAUUAAGUCAGUGGUGAAAGACGGUCGCUCAACGAUUGCAGUGCCAUUGAAACUGGUAGACUUGAGUAAAGUAGAGGUGGGCGGAAUUGAUAGUGUAGCGGUGAAAUGCAUAGAUAUUAUCAAGAACUCCAAUUGCGUAGGCAGCUCACUUGGCUUUU